GUAAAUUUGGAUUUAUUCCCUAAUAUUUAUUAUUAUAUAUAUAUAUAUAUAUAUAUAUAUAUAUAUAUAUAAUGUAAAAUUGGUGUGUACCUGUGUGUGAAUAUAUAUAGAUAUAUAUAUACAGACAUACACACACAAUUACUCUGAAUUUCACAUUGCUUAUUAUUUGAACAAGGGAAGUAGUGUAACACUAUGUAAGCAGAAAUAUUCAUAAAUACACAUCAAAAUACAAUUAGUCAGUGAAAUAUGAUUGGUUUAAAAAAAAAAAGAAAAAGAAAAAAUAUUUGAAAAAUGCAUCACAACUUCAGCUUUUUACAUGCAAAAAAAUAUAUUUUCAUAUUAUUACUGUAAGUACAAAACAAACAAAAACAAGAAAAUGGCUAUUGUAUAUGUAAUUUUGGUGUUGCUGAGAAUGUGAAUAGUUUUUUUCUCUUUUCUUUUUUCAAUGAGCAAUCAUCUUCAAGGGUAUGUAUGGUAAACCAAUUAUGUAGGGCAGAAGUAUUUUAAUCAGUUGGUAUUUGGAAAUUCCUUAAUAAAUAUCAAUGGAAGUGUGUGCAAGAAUUCAUCAAUUCUGAUCUUUUGUUAAAAACCACAAAUGUUUAAUCAUAUAUCAAGUGGUUACAAAUACAUUUGCUUAUUUAUAGCCACACUGCUUCCCUUCUUUUAUUCAAAUAAUCAGCAAUGAUUCAAGAGACUCCAGCAUCUAAUAAAAUAUUCACUCUUCUUUAUAUGUAAGCAGUUCUUUGUAAUCAUAAAAAUUCAUCAAUCUGUGUAUGUGUGUAUGUUUGGUUUUAUGCCAAGUUAUAAUAAAAACAAUUUAACAUUAAACUGAAGAAUCAUUAAUUACUCUUCUCUAGAGUACAUAUUACAUUUUUACAAGGAGAGUAACAGUAAAUUCAAAGGUUCAGCCUGCUGGUAGCUUUUGUUGAUCUGUACAACAAAAAGUAGUAGCCUGAGACUUUGAAGUCAGUCACCCUUCUUGUAAAAGUAGGACACACACACACACGUUUAUCUCUUCAUAGAUAUAUAAAUAAACAUUACAGACUAUAUGAAUUCAUUCAUUCUAUAUAAUUUUCUUGGUAUAACCUUGCUCUUAAAAAGACUUUGGGGUUUGUAGUUCCUAAAAGAGAACAUUUGAGUUCAAUAACCAAAGUGUGGUCCUAACUGCUGCUAAGCCUAAUGGGGCUACUACAAUUAUGGGUCAUGUUCAUACUCAUCUAGGUCUAAUUUUCAGCUUUUAAUGGGUAGGACAUCUUGUUAGAAUUAUUACUCUAUCUAUAUAUAUACACACACGUGUAUAUGUGUGUAACUUUUAAUAUAUAUGUGCACUAGCAUAUAUAGAAACUCUGAAUAAGAACUGACUUGGACCGUAACAUCUUUUCCAACCCAUGCCAGCAGAGACAUGAAGAACAGACACGAAAUGGUGAUAAUGAUAUACAUCUGGGAAUGUGUAUGUGUGCAUGUAAACAUACACACACACACACACACAUAAUAUAUAUAUCUAUAUCUCUCAUAAUAAAUUCAUGAGUUACAGCACAUUAUACUUUUGUCUAUUUAAGGCAAGCAAGACAGGCAGAAUUCAUUCAUCACCAAGCUACACUUAGACAAAUUAGGAAUUAGAAGUUGUGCACUACAUGUAAUUUCAAUACUCAACUGUGCACACUAUGCUAGACAUGGUGUCCUUUGAGCAAGCUACAGAACUCAGUUUGUUUCAGUCUGCUGGUCUAGCAACAUAUUCUAUUCUUUCAUUCCCAGGUGAAUGACUGCUAUUAGUAAAAGCAUCUGUCUAUAAAGAGAACUGCACAAACAUUAAAAAAAGAACAUUCUAAAUCUGCAAAACCAAUACUAUAAUAAUCCACUUACUUGAGCUUGGCAAAAUCAGUUACACCCACUCCUUUUCUUUCACCUAUUGUUGUCAUAAAUUUGAGAGGAAAUUUUACACCAAUACCCCGAUAUAAACAUAUGCUCUCUUUCCAUUUUCAGCCAUAGAUGAUAUCAUUUCUGUGGGAAAAUUCUUUACAUUCAUACUGCUUAAGAACUUAGACUUAUUACUGAAAAGUUAGACCUCACUUUCCAUUAAUAUUAGAAAUCUGAGAGGAAGUUAUUAAGACUCAUACAGUCUGAGAAUUUAUUCUAAGGAUCAGAUCUCACUUUGCUUGAUCACUUUUAGUAAUGGUCACUAUACACUUAAAGGCAAAAUUCUUUGACAUUCCCACAUUCACACAACUUGAAAAUUGACAAAUUAUCUCAAAAGUUAGGUAUUGCCAUGCACUUAUCACAAUAAAUUUGAGGGGAAAUUCAUUCGGUCAUACUGCUUCAGAAUAAAACUCGUUAAUCAAAGAAAAAUAAAAAGCUUUGCUUCAGCAACUGCUGCGAUUAUUUAAGACAAAAUCCUCACACUUCUUCAGAAUUUCAUGAGUAAAAUAAUACAUUAUCAAAGAAGGGGAGAAAAUUAUGAGUUGAAAAGAGAAGCAGAGAGAGGGCAGUUGAAAGCAAAAACUAUUCUUGCAUAUCAUCAUGCUGCUUGGAGAAACCUUUCUUAAAAUCUAAUUGUUCAGUCUCCCACCACCACUUCUUUUGGCCAGUGACUACCACUGAGAAAAUUCAAUAUAAUUCAAAUUAUUGUCUUAGCAUUAAAAACAUGAAACAAAAACAAAUUGUAAUUUGAGCUGCUAUCUACUUUUUUGUUGUAUUAGUAUAUAAUGAUAAUAAACAGAAUUAAUUUUUUUGCAUUUGAGGACACUAAGCAAAAUGAAAACAAUAGUAAUAAUAAUAAUCCUUUCUGCCAAAGGCACAAAGCCAGAAAUCUUUUGGGGGAGGGGGCUAGCCAAUUACGUUGACCCAGUGUUUCACUAGUACUUAAUUUAUCAACCCCAAAAAGAUGAAAGGCAAAUCGACCUUAAUAAUAACAAGAACACUCAGAGGAUGCAGACCUCCGCCAAGGCAAUCCCAACAUCUUCUCAACGAUUAGCCGGAGAUGAUUUUUAAAAUGAGAAAAUCUGAAAUAAACUCGACUGCUCUCACAAACAAGAAUACUAAAAAUGAACCCAACUGCUCUCAAAAAUUGAGUAAAAAAACAGAAAAAAUAAUAAUCCUUGUCCAGUACCAGAUUGAUCCCAAAAUCUAAUCAGUUCAUGCCAGUCAUGAGGCCAAACAUCCCUGAAAGUUUCAUCUGAAUCCAUCCAGCGGUUCAGACAAACAAACACACAAACAACAACUGAAAACAAUACUUCUGCAUUCGCUAAGGCAGAGGUAAUAAUGGUUUUAAAUUUUGGCAUAAAGCCAGCAAUUUCAGAGAAUGGAUAAGUCCAUUACAUUGACCUCAGUGAUCAAAUGGUACUUAUUUUAUCAACCCCAAAAGGAUGAAAGGCAAAGUUGACCCCAGCAGAAUUUGCACUCAGAAUGUAAACACAAACAAAAUGCUGCUAAGCAUUUUACCUGGCAUGCUAACAAUUCUGCCAGCUUAUCACCUAAAUAAUAAUAAUAAUAAUAAUAAUGAUUUCUGAUUUAGGCCCAAGGCAAUCAAUUCUGAGGGGAGGCAGAGUUUGUCAACCACAGUACUUGACUGGUACUUUAUUUUAUCAACCCUUAAAGAUGAAAGACAGAGUUGACCAUGGCAAGAUUGGAACUCAGAAUGUAAAGAGCUGGAACAAAUACCAGUAUGAUUUCAAUGCUCUAAUGAACAAUUAUUUCUAAUUUGGGUAGAAGGCCUAUGAUUUCAAUGCUCUAAUGAACAAUUAUUUCUAAUAUCAGUAGAAGGCCAACAAGUUUGAAAGGAGACUGGUAGCUGAUAUCAGCUCCAGUAUUUCAUUGGUACUUUAAAGCAUUUUUCUUGAAGUUCUAACAAUUCUGCUAAUUCAGCAUCCUUAAUAUUUGUUUCUAGUGGAGGCACAUGGCCUAGUGGUUAGAGCAGCAGACUCAUGGUCGAGGGAUCGUAGGUUCGAAUCUCAGACCGGGCGAUGUGUGUGUUUAUGAGCGAAACACCUAAGCUCCAUGCAACUCCGGCAGAAGGUAAUGGCGAACUUCUGCUGACUCUUUCGCCACAACUUUCUCUCACUCUUUCUGCCUACAUCUAGCAGCUCAUCUGCAACGGACCAGUGUCCCAUCCAGGUGGGGAACCUAUACGCCAAGGAAACCGGUCCUAAUGAGCCAGGCAUGGCUCGAGAAGGAACAAACAAUAUUUGUUCCUUAUUUAGGCAUGAGGCCAGUAAUUUUGACAGGAAGGAAUAAUUGAUACUCUCAACUCGAGCACUUAUUUUAUUGACUUCAGAGGGAUGAAAGCAAAGUUGACUCAGAACAUAAAGAGUCAGAAAAAGACAAGGUAUUUUCUCUAAAGCGCUAAUGCUUCUACCAGCAGUUCACUGCUUAUUAUUAUUAUUAUCAUCAAAAAUAAUGACAACAACAACUGUUGUUACUGUUGUUUUUACCAUAGACGCAAGGCCUAAUAUCUGGGAAAGGGUUAGACUUCAGUACUUGACUGGUACUUUAUUUUAUCAAUUCUGGAGAGACAAACAGGAAAAUUGACCUUGGCAUGAUUUGAACUUAGAUCAUAAAGGUCGGAAGAAAUUACAAAGUAUUUUUUCCUGACACUCACAAUUCUGCUAGCACACCUAUAAUAAUGAAAAUAAAAACAAUAAUAAUUCUUUCUAAAAUAGGUACAAUUUUGGGGGCAGGGGACUAGUCAACAACAUUAACCCCAGUGCUCAACUGGUACUUCUGAAAUGAUGACAGGUGGAAUUUGAACUCAGAAUGUAAAACCUGAAAAUAUGCCACAAAGCAUUUUGUCUGGUAUGGUAACAAAUGUUUCUGAUGUAGGUACAAGGCUUGAAAUUUAAGGAAGGGAGUGAGUUGAUUCAAUCAAUCCCAGUACUUUACUAACAGGUAAUUGCUUAAUUGACUGCUUUGGAUAAAAAGCAAAGCUGACCUCAGUGGUACCAACUCAGUACAUACAUAAUAAUGAAGAAAAUUAUAAAUCAUUUUCCCUGAUUAUCAACCAGGAUCAAUGGAUCAAUCAAUUAAGCCCUUCUUCCAACCAGGUUUACAAAUGGAAACAGUUAUUACAUGAAUAAAAAAAAAAAAAGGAUCAACAUUUUUGGAGGUGAAAAUAACCAUAUUGAAAACACAGCAACCUGAUUGUCAAAGAGAAGAAAGUGUACAGUGUUGGGUUGCUUAAUACAGUUCAAAAGAAGGUUGGAGAGAAACCACUGUCUUUUAGACAGAAUAACUGUUUCAAAAAAGGCAGAUGUGAAAUGUGUGUGGUGGUGACGAUGAUAACAAUGAUGGUGAUGAUAAGAGAGAGAGAGAGAGAAACACUUAUGCCUAAUGUCUAGACAUAUACACAGAAAGCUGUAUCAUCAUAACCAUGUCUACUCUGAAGAUGUAAACAAAAUCCAGUAACUGCAAAAUCUGGAGAUAGAUUUAACUUCCCAACUAUCUUCCUUGACUGACUUUAGGUCAAGGAACCUGCAGAGAAAAGGCUGUAAAAUCUGAUUGCCUUUUCACUUAAAUGUUAUUUCUUUAGUCAACUAUUUUAAAACAAAUUAACAUUGAUUUAGUGAAUGUUUAAUAAAUUUACUUAUUAUUAUGACUAUAAUUAAUUUAACCCUCUUAAUACCAACCUGCCUGAGACUGCCCCUGGUUCUAUGAUACUAAUUUCCUGAUUUAAAAUUAUCUAAAAGCCAAAUUUCAUGAUCAUUUUUGUUCUAAAUAUCAGAUUGAUAAUAGAGUCAGUUUAAUAAAUUCUUCAUUAUUUUCAAAUUAAUCAAAACAAAGGCAGUGUAUUUCAACAGAAAUAUGGUAACAAAAGCACAAAAGGGUUAUAGUUGUGAAUAUGAAAAUAAACUAUGGACAUUUUCCAGUAUAUGUUUGUAAUUUUCAGCAUGCAGUGUUAGGAAUCAUGGUUAAUUGACAUAUAGCCUUUCAAGAAAAAUACAAUAUAUUUUUUAAACUAGAGAUUUCCCCCAUUCCUGAACUAAAUUAUAGUACAGUAUAGGGGCAUCACCUAUACCCAAGGAAUAUCUUUGUUUUAUAAGGGCUUGAGUAAAUAGAGUGAGAAAAAUUUUAACUUUGAAUACAAUUCACUCAUAUUUGUACAUUCAUAUACUCACUUGCUUGGCUGUAAAACAAGAUGGCAAGAUUAAAAAUCAAAUGCCAGUGGCACCAACUCGGCAUCAUCACACAUAUUAAAAUGCUGAACCAAAAUCAAACUCACUAUAUCAGCUUCUCAAGAAUUUUAAUAACCUCUCAUCUAAACAGUUUCUUAAAAAAAAAACUUGUGUAGGUAUGGGUGUGCACAUAUAUGCGUUUGUAAGUGUGUAUGUAUAUAUUAAAAAAAAGUUGAAGUCUGUUUCAAGGUUACAGACUCAUUUGGCCAGAGCUUACUCCAGUUUCUAAGGCUUUUAAGCAAUUGAGAGCACAAGACUUUAACCUUAAAUAGGAUCCCAGCCCACUAGUGAGUUAAUCAACAGCUGCAGCUGCUAGUAUAGACUACAGCAAUGGGAGAUGAAGGACUUUGCUCAUGGACACAAUACAUCACCCAGCCCAAGAAUUGAACUCCUGACUUCAUGAUUCUAAGCCUAAAGCUGUACGCACUAGGCCACAUGCCUUCAAAUACACACACAUAUAAUCUUUUCUACUCUAGGCACAAGGCCCAAAAUUUUGAGGGGAGAGGGCGAGUCAAUUAGAUCAACCCCAGUAUGCAACUGGUACUUAAAUUAUCAGCCCCGAAAAAGAUGAAAGGCAAAGUCGACCUCAGCAUAAUUUGAACUCAGAAUGUAAAGACAGAAGGAAUACCACUAAGAAUUUCGCCUGGCAUGCUAACGUUUCUGCUAGCUUGCCACCUUAAUACACACACAUAUAAUGUAUGCACACUGUAUUUUUUUGUAUAUGUGUAUAUAUAUUUAAUCAGCAAAUGCUACAGAGUCACUCAAGGGCCAAUGCACGAAACUCUCAGCCUUUGAGUUACUCUGCAACUUCUGCAAAUCAAAUAUAGUUUAAUGUAUAUAGAUAGAUAUAUACACACACAAACAUAUUUUGAGUUCUAUUUUCCUGUUUGUUUCACCAGACCUAUAGAUAUAAUCUAACAUUAUCCCAUCUUAUAUAUAAUGUGUAAGACGUACAUACAUACACACAUAUACAUUAAAAUUAGAAGAGGAAAAAGAAAAUGUGCUCUCCCAUAGGACUCCAACUAAUUGAUCUUGAUUAGUGAUUAAUAAUUAACAUAAAUAAUUUAUAUUUAAAAUUUUUUAUAAUUAAAAGCAACAAUACACAAGAGAACUGAAUGCUUAUUUGCAGAGUACUAUAUAUUUUAUCAACAGUUGGUUAAUCUGCUUUUACGUCAUGGCUAUUAGUUUAGCACUAAAAUAGCUGUUCAAUGGUGUGGAGUCAGAUAAAAUCCUCACCUCUAAUCUUUUGUCAUACUCUUUUCUUACUCUAAUGCACUUACCUACUGCCUCACACAUCCUUUCUGUUCUUCUAACUGUAUUCUCUCACUCAUAUUCACCUUGGCCCUAAAGGGUAUAUAUAUAUCCUCACCAUCUCACUAUUUCUUUCCAGCUGGGAAAGUUAUGUAUCCUCUUCUUCAAUAAAACACUUGUUCACAUCUCUCUAUUAUACUUUCACAUCCUUCAAUACUUAUACCCCAAUCAGUUGAAGAGCCUUAUCUUGUGAGGGCUAGAUUACCCCACUAGUGCUGGUGCCACAAGAAAAAAAAAAAACAUCCAGUACAUUCUGUAAAGAAGUGGCUUUAGGAAGGACAUUCUGCCAUAGUAACCACGCCAAAGCAGACAUUGGAGCUCGGCACAGCCCGCUGGCUUGUCAUUUCCUCUUGGACUGUCAAAUAAAUGCCAGCAUGGAAAAGGGGAUGUUAAAUGAUGAUGAUGUAGAAUAAUACAUUCUACAUUACCUGAGGUAAAGCAAACAGUUGUAAUGUAAACAUGAAUUAUUCAGCUAUUAAUAAUAAUAAUUCUGUGAGAAUGUGUGUUUAUAUGUAUCUUUUGCCAGUUGAAUGUUGCUUACUGUUAGUAAAAAAACAAAAGAAAAAAAAGCAUUAUCCUUAGCCAAAUGUUGCUUCCACUGCAUUAAAACAGAGACAACUGCAAAUGUUUUGUAAUUAUGCAUAUUUUUUUAAAUUUCAAAACCUGAUCUUCAUAUUUUAUUUUAGUUAGUAUGUGGGUGUAUAUAUAUAUAUAUUCCCAUAUAUCCUCUGUGUGUAUAUAUAUAUAUAUAUAUAUUCCCAUAUAUCCUAUGUGUGUGUGUAUAUAUAUAUAUAUAUAUAUAUAUAUAUAUAUAAAAGUAGAAACUUAACAUUGUUUCAUGAAUAUCAAAAUAUCAGUCGUGUGAAAAGUAAUACAAAUAAACAAUGAAAGUCAGUUUGAGUUUCAACUAUAAACUGUGAUUUGUGUAUUGAGUACUAGAUCUCAAAUGUGUGUGUGUGUGUAUAGGAGAGAGAGAGAGAGAGAAACAAACAGAAAUAGUGAGACAGUAAAAAUAAAAUUAUUAUGGUCAAAUAAGGGAAGUAAAGUGUGUAUAUAUGUAUGAAUGUAUAUACAUACACAUAUAUAUAUGUGUGUGUGUGUGUGUGUGUGUGUAUAUACACACACACACACACAUACGGCUCAUACAAUCUUAAAUUAUGGCCCAUGAUCAAAUUAACCAAUAUAUUGGUUAAUACAAUCAGAGAGUAGACUUCACUCUUCACUGCAUUUUAUUUUAUUUUAAAUUUCAAGAUAAAUCUCCACUACCUUUUUUCACCAAUUAAAUCAUUAUGCUAAUGAUAUUUCUUCACAAAUGGUGAAAUUUUAGUGAAUUAAAAUUUCUGAGUACGUUAGCAAUGACUUUACUAUCAUACAGACAUAAUAAAGUUAGUGUUAACAUAUUUAAUGCAAAAAGUAUUAAGGAUCUAAUUAGGAAAAAAAAUCAUGGAUAUAGUUUCAUUUUUAGGGAUCUUUUUUUAAACAAUGAUUGUCAGAGGAGGGAGGCUUGUUUAAAGCCACUGAAACUGAUGGGGAGUGGAGUAAAGGCAGCUAGAUACCAUAAUUGAGGGAUGACUGCAUUAGAGUAUUUGGGUUGCAUAAGCUGUAGAAGCAAGCAAAAACUGGGGAAAAAAAACAAAAAAAAACUUUUUCUCAAAUGUUUUAAUUGAUAGUUUCCUUUGUAACUUCAAUGUCUUGAGUUGUGUUGUGUGCAUGGUUCACUUGAGAUUUUAAUAGGCGUAGGAGUGGCUGUGUGGUAAAUAGCUUGUUUACCAACCACAUGGUUCCAGGUUCAGUCCCACUGCGUGGCACCUUGGGCAAGUGCUUUCUACUAUAGUCUUGGGCCGAGCAAAGCCUUGUGAGUGGAUUUGGUAGAGGGAAACUGAAAGAAGCCCAUCGUAUAUAUGUAUAUAUAUGUAUGUGUGUGUAUAUGUUUGUCCCCCCAACAUCGCUUGACAACCGAUGCUGAUGUGUUUACGUCCCCGUAACUUAGCGGUUCGGUAAAAAACGAGCCCGAUAGAAUAAGUACUAGGCUUACAAUGAAUAAGUCCUGGGCUCGAUUUGCUCGACUAAAGGUGGUGCUCCAGCAUGGCCGCAGUCAAAUGACUGAAACAAGUAAAAGAGAAAAGAGAGAAAAGAGUUAGAACCACCACAUAUCAUAGCGCAGCUAAGUAACUUUUACUGGCGUUUCACUGAGGAAGAAUAAUCAUGAAUUGAAAGAAAAUAUAAUGUUGUGUUAUGCAUCACAUUUGAAUUGUUAAUACAAACAUAAAUGUAUUAGUUUUUCUUUUUCACUUUUACAAAACACAUUCACAGAAAGUUUUGUUGUUGAACACAGGCAAGAACUUCUGUAGAUCAUGUCAGAGGAACAGCCACAAGGGAGAUAAUCGUCAACCAGCUGAAGAUAGUGACACUUCCUUCGAGUCUGGAUUCCAAUGUGCGGUUGGUCUCUUUUAAAAACCAAUGGCAUUAGGUAGAUGAGUAAUGAAUUCUCCCAACCCACACCAGACAAAAUGAUGACUUAUCACAUGUAAAACAACACCCAGACGUUUCAGUAACUAUUUUUGGCAGUUACAUGAACUGAUCAUCACAGCAUUAAGUGUAUUGUUUAAAUUCACAACAAAAGCACAUGAAAUAGAUUUAUAAUCAAUGCAUCUAAGCUAGCAGAGUAACAAACUCUGCAGUAUACUAUGACCAUUUGUCAAGAUGCAUAUCUCUUGCUGACUUAUUCCUUCUCACAGCAGUGACUGGAUACAGCUGAAAUAACAGCUGAGCAUCUUAUUAGUUAUCAAUCUUAAAUCUCUCCAGCAUACUGUAAAUUCUACAACCAAAUUAAACCCUACCUAUUAAAGUGAAGGGUUUUUUCAAAACUUUCAAUCUGCAGUACACUGCAAUGAUUUCCAGUAAUAUCAAACUAUAUAUAUAUAUACACACACAUAUAUAUAUAUACAUGGUUCUGGGUUCAGCCCUACACUGCAUGGCACCUUGGGAAAAUGUCUUCCAUUAUAGCCUUGGGCCAACCAAAUCCUUGUGAGUAGAUUUGGUGGAAGGAAACUAAAAGAAGACCAUCGUGUCUGUAUGUGUGUAUAUAUAUAUAUAUAUAUGUUUGUGUGUGUGUGUUUUUGUCCUCGUAUCACUGUUUGACAACCAGUGUUAGUGUGUUUACAUCCCCAUAACUCAGUGGUUUGGCAAAAGAGACUGAUAGAAUAAGUACUAAGCUUGUUCAACUAAAACACUUCAAGGUGGUGCUCCAGCAUGGCCAGUCAAAUGACUGAAACAAGCGAAAGAAUAAAAGAAUAUAUAGGUACAGUAUGGCUGAACAGUUGAGAAUUUUGUAACCAUGAGGUCCUGGGUCCAAUUCCAACACAUGGCAUUUGGACAAGUGAUAUUUUCUAGUCUUUGGUCAACCCCAUAAUGUGUGAGUGAAGGUAGAUAGGCAGAAACUGAAUUGAAGCCUGUUGAAAUGAUUGAAUCUGUAAUUCACAGGCCCAGCCUUGUAACAGAUGGUGUCAUGCAAAAUCUGCCAGAGAGUUAUAUUUAGGGCACAUGUUUUGGUGGAAUAUUCAUCCACCAACUCAAUAAGCAGGUAAUGUAGUCAAUUAAACAACUGAAGGCUCAUUAUCAAAACUGACAGAGAGCCAGCCAUAUAUAAUUGCAUGCUAAAAAUAGCAACCAACAGCUUUAAAUACACCCAAGUGUCUUAAAAAUGAGGAACACAUUGGAUAAUGUAGUCCAUAAUAUAUAUAUAUAGAGAGAGAGAGAGAGAGAGAAUGGGCACAGCUGGAAAAUAUUUGAUUAUAUGUCUAUUUGGUCAGUGCUGACCCGGGACUGCCUAAACAAGGCAACGAAAAUGGCCAGUUACUCUAAAUUGAUGGAAAAAUAGGACAUUCUAUUUCUAAACCAUUCCUCGAGGGGUAUGUUGCACCUUGUGAGUGUGUGUGUAUGUGUGUGACAGAGAGAGAGAGUACACGAGAGUUUGUGUGUGUGUGUGUCUGUCUGUUUUAGAAUUCUUUAGUGGUUACGUGCCACACUUCAGAUUAAACGAGUUUGAUUUUGGUAAGAUUUAAUAUGUGUGUCUGUGUAUAUGUGUGUGUUUGUGUGUUAAAACAUCAUCACAUUUACUUCUAAUAUUUUAACCCAAAGAAAUUCAAACGUCUCCUAACUCUCACACACACACAGACACACCCCAGAUAGAGAAAAAAAUUCAUUAAUUAUUAAAAUCGAAUAGUGUUUUGAUUUUCUUCCCCCCACAAAAGAUUGAAUUCCAAUAUCAAUUUGGUAAUUUCGAUACAUACACACACACACACACACAUAUAUAUAUAUAUAUGCAUGCACACACGUUAAAAUACAUUAGACUGCAUACAGAGGAGAACAAAAUAACAUCUAGAAAGAGAGAAAGGACUGGUGAAAUUGCUGAGGAACAAGUAACCUAACA
rnacentral:lncRNA from 1 species